CGGGCUCCUACUGAAUGGACUGCGCUGCGCUCACGCUGGUCAGUUGUGCUGCGCCGCGACCUCGCGCAAGACGUCCCUCCGCACGCUCGCCGCCCAGCUCGAGAAUCAAAGCUUUCAUAAGAACCUUAAGAAUAAUUUUCGGAUGCCUUUGCUGGUGAACAUGGACGAGCAGUUCACGGAUUUUACGGCAAGUGCAGUGAAUGAUGGGAAAUCAACAUGAUGAAUGAUGAGUCGGACAGGAAAAGACGCCGGAACCAAAGAAAAAAUAAUUUUCGAUAAACGUCGCAAGCAGAGACCAUAUCCAGACAGUAGAGGUGAUCGGUAUGCACGCAGGCGCAGCCUGUGUACUGUUCGGGGCUGGCGACCUCUGCAUAUCGACCGACCGCGGCGAGACAGCUAGGGCACUCGCCGUCUGCUGCCACUACCACUGCAGAUGGAAUUCGGCUGCUGGCUCGCGUGGUAUGCUGGGAUGAUCUGGACACGGACUACAUUCUGUUCGAGUUCGGGGGAGACCCUGCAGGAAAAAUACUGCUCUGUUUAACACGCCCUGCAAAUGUUAACGACGCACAUCCGCAGGAUAAAUGCGAAGGAGCCUAACCAGACUAAUUCACUGGUCCAGAGGACAGCGCGGCCACAGCUGCCGCCAGAGGGUGUCAUCACGACACCGCGGGACAAUCCCAUGGAGCCUUCGCCUCAUCCGCCUCCUCUCGUCCUACCGAUAGGCACUCGCCGCUUCUUCAUCUGGUUCAUGGAAACCGAAGAUUUUCCAGGGGACAUUUCCGCCAGAGUGCAGGCCGGAUGGCGGGGUACAGCCGGAAACUUGACAUCCCCUGCAGCCACAGCUUCCGGCCCGUCGAGGCGCCCACACUUCUGCAGCAUCCCGCCGUAGUCGCACCCAUAUACGACGACGGUCCGUCGAUUUGUGAGGGAGGAAUGUUCUGGCCUAACCACAAGCGCCGGAACGAAGACGAAGAAAGGAAGACCAGAGAAGAUGGUGAGGAAACGUCAGCCAAUAGCCGGUGACAAGGACCGAGUCGCGCCAGGUGCGCCCAUUGCAAGAAGAGAAUAUAAGCGCCGCUCCUGCCAGCCUUGGCCGCUCAGAUGGGCUCAGUGUACAGACAACAGUGGACAGGAUUCGCCGAGCAGUAUUAGUGACGUGUGUUAACUUCCAGGAACAUUACACAUAGCCAAGGACUCUAAAUUAUAUUGCAUGACGCCCCUCGUUUGUGACUACUACUUGUAAAUCACAAAGUUAAGUAUUUUCAUCUGCUCUAUACAAAUAAAACUACUAAUGUUAUUUUCUUGAAUUGCUGUAUAGCAUUCCGAGAACACUGUAUCCUCUAGGUACCCUAUAAGCGACGAGUGGGCAAGAUACAACAACAAGAACAACAACAGCGGCAGUCA